GACGAACGCUGGCGGCGUGCUUAACACAUGCAAGUCGAACGGACAGGCCCUGCUUUUGUGGGGUGCUCGAGUGGCGAACGGGUGAGUAACACGUGAGUAACAUGCCCUUGACUUUGGGAUAACUUCAGGAAACUGGGGCUAAUACCGGAUAGGAGCUCCUGCUGCAUGGUGGGGGUUGGAAAGUUUCGGCGGUUGGGGAUGGACUCGCGGCUUAUCAGCUUGUUGGUGGGGUAGGGGCUUACCAAGGCUUUGACGGGUAGCCGGCCUGAGAGGGUGACCGGCCACAGUGGGACUGAGGUACGGACCAGACUCCUACGGGAGGCAGCAGUCGGGAAUAUUGCACAAUGGGGGGAAGCCUGAUGCAGCAACGCCGCGUGCGGGAUGACGGCCUUCUGGUUGUAAACCGCUUUCGCCUGUGACGAAGCGUGAGUGACGGUAAUGGGUCAAGAAGCACCGGCUAACUACGUG
rnacentral:rRNA from 1 species